rnacentral:rRNA from 1 species
UACGGAGGAUGCAAGCGUUAUCCGGAAUGAUUGGGCGUAAAGCGUCCGCAGGUGGCUAUGUAAGUCUGCUGUUAAAGAGUGAGGCUCAACCUCAUAAGAGCAGUGGAAACUACAUGGCUAGAGUGCGUUCGGGGCAGAGGGAAUUCCUGGUGUAGCGGUGAAAUGCGCAGAUAUCAGGAAGAACACCCGUGGCGAAGGCGGCUCUCUGGUACGUGACUGACGCUGAGACGCGAAAGCGUGGGGAGCGAACAGG